rnacentral:tRNA from 1 species
GUUCCUGUAGUUGAGUGACAACGGUGGUUUUUCAAGCCAUGUGGCCGGGUUAAAGUCCCGGGAGGAAUU